rnacentral:misc_RNA from 2 species
CCGAGCGAGGGCCCCCGGGCCCGACCUCCCACCCCCUGACAAACGACCGGUUUGCCUCGGGGGCGACCCGGCCGUCCGGAAGGAGAGAGCCGGGUGCCCCCGGAGGACACUCACUCUGCGUCUUUGCGUCGGAGUCCGAAAGAAAAUCGCAAGCA